UACGGGGGGGGCAAGCGUUGUUCGGAAUUACUGGGCGUAAAGGGCUCGUAGGCGGCCAACUAAGUCAGACGUGAAAUCCCUCGGCUUAACCGGGGAACUGCGUCUGAUACUGGAUGGCUUGAAUCCGGGAGAGGGAUGCGGAAUUCCAGGUGUAACGGUGAAAUGCGUAGAUAUCUGGAGGAACACCGGUGGCGAAGGCGGCAUCCUGGACCGGCAUUGACGCUGAGGCGCGAAAGCCAGGGGAGCAAACGGG
rnacentral:rRNA from 1 species